rnacentral:rRNA from 1 species
GCUGGCGGCAGGCCUAACACAUGCAAGUCGAACGGAGUUAUAUUGUAGCUUGCUAUGGUAUAACUUAGUGGCAGACGGGUGAGUAAUGUAUAGGAAUCUACCUAGUAGUACGGAAUAAUUGUUGGAAACGGCAACUAAUACCGUAUACGCCCUACGGGGGAAAAAUUUAUUGCUAUUAGAUGAGCCUAUAUUAGAUUAGCUAGUUGGUGGAGUAAUAGCCUACCAAGGCAAUGAUCUAUAGCUGAUCUGAGAGGAUGAUCAGCCACACUGGAACUGAGAUACGGUCCAGACUCCUACGGGAGGCAGCAGUGGGGAAUAUUGGACAAUGGGCGAAAGCCUGAUCCAGCCAUGCCGCAUGAGUGAAGAAGGCCUUUGGGUUGUAAAGCUCUUUUAGUGAGGAAGAUAAUGACGGUACUCACAGAAGAAGUCCUGGCUAACUCCGUGCCAGCAGCCGCGGUAAUACGGAGAGGGCUAGCGUUAUUCGGAAUUAUUGGGCGUAAAGGGCGCGUAGGCGGAUUAGUAAGUUAAAAGUGAAAUCCCAAGGCUCAACCUUGGAACUGCUUUUAAAACUGCUAAUCUAGAGAUUGAAAGAGGAUAGAGGAAUUCCUAGUGUAGAGGUGAAAUUCGUAAAUAUUAGGAGGAACACCAGUGGCGAAGGCGUCUAUCUGGUUCAAAUCUGACGCUGAGGCGCGAAGGCGUGGGGAGCAAACAGGAUUAGAUACCCUGGUAGUCCACGCUGUAAACGAUGAAUGUUAAAUAUGGGAAGUUUUACUUUCUGUAUUACAGCUAACGCGUUAAACAUUCCGCCUGGGGACUACGGU